AAAACUGGUAAAACAGAUUCUCUCACAACAACAAUUUCGUAUGUAAAAAUGAAUCAACAAAGAGAUCAAAAAAUCCCAUUUCUUACUAUACUACAAUCUUAAUAAAUAUAAGUAACAAUAUCUCCUCUCUCUUUUCAUGAACAAAUUCCCAUAAAAAAAUGAACUUUUAGAAUGAUAUUAAAUUAGAAAGAAGCAGGGGAAAUAUCAGGAGCACCAACAAUAAUAUCUUCAGAAGAAAUCGGAGCAGAAGCAUCAGUAGCAGCAGCAGCUCCACUGCUCAAUAACUCAAUCAUUGCGCGGUGUGGGCUGCUCCUCUGUUUGCUGCACAAAUCUGGCAAAUAUACUCCUUCUCCAGCAGCUAAAUUGAAGUAGAGAUCAACAACGUUAGGGCAAUUGCGAUAACAUGAAGGAGAACAGAGUUUUGCAGUGAAUUGUGGUUCAAGUAAAGAAUCGGAAGAAAUGCCAACAGAAUUUCUGUCUACACCGCAUGAGUUAAUACAUUCAUCUGUUUCAACAUACUCUGCAAUGUUUGCAACAACAACUUCUGAGGUCUUGCAUUGAUAUUCCAAUUUUCCAUCUUCGGUUGCUGAAUUCUCCAAUAAACAUCUCUUUCCAGAUGAUGAGAUUGAAAAUGAACAAACAUUUGUUGGCAAGUUUUCACAUGUGAUUUCCCCUAAUGCGACUUGGAGGAAAAGGGUGGAAGCAAAGAAAAGAAUAAUGGAAGAGUGCUUCAUGGAUAAAGCCAUUUUUCUUCUUUUGGUUAUUAAGAAUGUAUUUUUGUAAGGAUUUAUGUUGUAAUUGAGAAAUGAAGUUUUA
rnacentral:misc_RNA from 1 species